GCCGGUGAUGGUGGCGCACACCGGUAGGAUUUGCCGAAAGAGGCAGAGGCAGGAGGAUCUGGAGUUCGAGGCCAGCCUGGGCUACGCACUUUUU
rnacentral:snRNA from 1 species